NNNNNNNNNNNNNNNNNNNNNNNNNNNNNNNNNNNNNNNNNNNNNNNNNNCAUCCUCCUUUGAGACGAGAACAGCAUCUGCAGUCUCCUACAAGAGAGAUCUUGUCUAUCUUUGUCUCCAGCACACUGAAUGAUUAAUUGUCUUUCUAGAGCAACCCUGGAAUGGUCCCCAGCCACGGAUUCAGUCCCAGAUCUUACUUCUUUGACAACCCUCGAAGAUACGAUAGUGAUGAUGACCUUGCCUGGAACAUUGCCCCUCAGGGACUUCAGGGAAGUUUUGCUCCAGACUACUAUGACUGGGGACAACAAACCAACAGCUUCCUGGCAUCAGUGGGAACUUUCCAACCAGACCCAGUUUUGGAUCCUGACAAACCAGGCCAUGGGUAGUAUCAGUCAACAAUUCUGUGGAAGAUUCCUCAGUGAAGACCUUCAAAGAGAUUAACUUCAUGACAGCUGAAUUUUUGUAAGGCACUUUUCCUUAAGAAAUCGGACUUGAUUUUUGUUAUAGGUUUCUAAUGGCUCCUAGGACUAAGCAAUAAUUUAGAUUGAUAAAAUCUUAUUUUAGUACUAAAAAGUGAGCCUGGAUGCCUUUUUUAGUGGAUAUAAUUUAAACUUUAAAAAAAUACUCUGUACUUUUAUAAAGAUGUAUUUUAUAUAACUUAAAUAAUAAUGCUAAAAUAUAUACUAGGAUUUUUUGAGAAUGUUAUUGCAAUAUAUGUUUGUAGUUUGCACGGACUUUUAUGCAUAAUCCACUUUAAAAGUCCAUAGUACAUGGUCUGAUGGUUGUUUCAGGCUUUCGGACUAACGUAUCUUCAGAUCCUUACCUCUUCAGGCCGUGCAGGGGCUGAGCCGGGUAGAUUCAAAACUCAGCUGACAUCUAGAAAGCCAGUUUCGACUCCAGUGUUAAGUUAUACUGUAGCAGAUUAUCAACAGACUACAGACAAGGUAACAGGGUCCUUCCUUUGAGUUCUUUAAGGUCGAGAUGGUUGUUGUCUCAAAGAAUUUAAAUUUUGACAAAAAUGUGGUACUCCUUUGAGCAGGGCCCUGAUGUGUACCCUUCAGCCAUAAGUGGAUCCCUUAGAAGCAUGGAUAGAGCUAACCCACUGCUAAGCCUCCUCUGCUGUAUUCAGAACCUUUGCCUAGUUUUUCAGCCCAGGGAAAUCUAGGCUCCGUUACCUCAGUCCUUCCCAGGACGUCACCUUUCCCAAAUCACAGACCAUUCAUUCCAGUCCAGGAGCGCAGGACAGGUUCUCCGCCCUCCAUCCGGCAGGCUGUAUGCAGUCCUCAGUCUUCCUGCACUUUCCCACGUAUUUAAAAUAAUGGCCUGCAUUUCUAAGUAGCUCUGAAAUCAGGCUACUGGCAAUAGCAGCUUUAAAACGGGAGUUGCUCUCUGGUACCCAGGAGCACGAUUCCUGUCCAUCGGCCACGUGAAGAGGCACGUUCCAGACGACGGCUUCAGUGAACUCAGCUGGGACUCCAGCCCUGGUGCAAGUCUAAAACCUCCAAGAUCUAUCCAGGUACCACUGCCUACGAUGGGAAACUGUGUCAGGGAGGUUAAAUGCUCGGAUAUUCCGUAAAACAGAAGGUCCUGGAGGAAGGAUGGUUACCAGCGAGAUGUGACCUGCUCUGCCUAGGAAAUCUCACCUUUCGGGACAGGAGGAGGAGGGGCAGACGGACAGACAGUCAUGCUCUGCCUUCAGGAUGAAGCCCAUUGCCAGUAUCUCUUAUUUCUCAUUAUGGUCUUCAGAAAGGAUUUCUCUCUGGGCAUUGAUUUCACAGAAAUUAAGUCUACUUCUCUUGAUGGUGAUUAAAAUUGCCAUCUCAAGUUGUAAAAAAUGGCUGUGACUGGGUUUUUCAUUUGUACUGAAUGCCUUUGUCCUGCGUCAUCCAACACAGUAGUGUUCUUGCCUUUCAGUAUCUGGAAGAACUGGGGUCACAUGUCACUGAAAAUAGACUUUCAGAGAAAAUUCUAGACUGAAGCAAAAUUUGCACUGAUUAUUUGGGUUGCCUUAAAAUAUUAUAAGUUGUUAUUAUUCUAAAUAGCUUUAAGAACACCCUUACUUGUCAUGCUAUCUUUGUUACUAGUACUUAGAAUUUAAAGGCAGACCAAGCAUAGACUUAAAAACUUUAAAUCAUGCUUUCAGAAAGUACUUCAAUUAGGUCAUUCAAGGGUAGGUAUAUUUUAAAAAAUACAGUAAUAAAAAAAAUCACUCAAAUCAUCCAAUUAUUAUACUCAUGCUGUAUCAACACAUUAUCCUGUUAUUACUGGCAGGAAAGUCGCAAUAACCAACAUUAAGUGAUAAAGGCCAUAAUCUAUUUUUAUGAUAAAGCUGCUACUAUUUGAACUAUCUUCCUACUGGAAAGGAUAAAAAUGUUCUAAGAGCUUAUUUUUCUCUUUCCCUUUUUAAAAAGUUUUGCUUAAGCACAAGUAUUGUAAACACAUCUAGAAUAUUAAUAGGAUUGUAUUAAUAUUUUUCUCAUAGUAAAUGACCAUGUGUACCCUGUGAAACUUUAUAGGUAUGGUAGGUAUGAAAAGGGAAAUUAAAAUUUCUUCAAUUUCCUAAUUGUGUUACAGUGUUAAAUAGGUUCACUAACAAAACUUCUCCUUAAUGUGAAAUAUUAAAGGCCCAAAGAAGGCAAAGAAAAGGGAUUACUGGUUAUAAAACACAGAAAACGUCCUGUUUUAAAGCAAAAUAAUGAAAUUAAAACCUUGGUCAAUUGAAAGUUAAAAAUAUAUGGGGAAGAGGCAGUGUCACUGGAAAUUUUGUACUAAGUCUGAUUCAACACUAAAGGCUGCAUAGGAGUAUUUCUGGACACGUGCUGGAAAUAGGCAUAAAAGUGGUCUUCUUCUGCAGGUAAUUGUCUAAAAACGCCAACUGAUUUGUGUAGAUAUCUUGCACUGGCUCUUUCUUUCUACAAUUAACCCAUUUAACUGAGCCACUGAUUACAACAUCCAGAGUAUGUUGUACUCUGUGGACUGUAAGGAGUUUUUUUUUUUUUUUUUUUUUUUUUACUUUUACAGUACACACAUCAUGGUUAUGCCAAUUCUUUCUUGGAUGCAUCAGGUGUGUUGUUAAAACUAUGCUGGUUACCAUGUUUAGUGGUGUAGAUCAUCAGGCACAUUCACUAGUGUGUCCCCAAAUAUCCUCUUUUCUCAAAAUCCAAUAGAACUGUUCUUUAAUUCCUUGAAUAUUUAAUUCCUAUUAAGAAGAGAACAAGCAUUACUAAAUUCCAGAGCAUGAAAAGUGCUUAGAGAAAAAGGUUCUCAUUUAUAUUUAUAUAGUAGAUAUUACUAGAAUUUUUAUUUUUCAGAAUGAAUCUUUUUUUAAUAAGGGUAAACUUACAUGAGAAUUAAAUGGGUCUAAAUAUUUGUUUUUUUAGCAUUUCCAAGUGGAGAAACUUUAUUAAAAAUUCUUCACUUUAGAGUACUGUAUGAUAAAAUCUAGACAAGUGUAGGUCUGAUUGAAGACCUAUCUAAUACACUUAUCCAUUUUUUGUCCUGGGGAGAAUUUUAUUUAAAAAAAAUUCUAACUGUGCAUAAUGCUAUUUAGGACUUCUCAUCGUCCAGAGGAACUGCUAGAAAGGAUCAGGCUAAAAAGUGGAGUUCUCAUCAAAAACUCUAAUCCAAGUGAGGAAACAUUUUUUUUUUUUUUUUUUNNNNNNNNNNNNNNNNNNNNNNNNNNNNNNNNNNNNNNNNNNN
rnacentral:lncRNA from 1 species